rnacentral:rRNA from 1 species
AGGGUCCGUAGGCGGUUUAAUAAGUCAGUGGUGAAAGCCCAUCGCUCAACGGUGGAACGGCCAUUGAUACUGUUAAACUUGAAUUAUUAGGAAGUAACUAGAAUAUGUAGUGUAGCGGUGAAAUGCUUAGAGAUUACAUGGAAUACCAAUUGCGAAGGCAGGUUACUACUAAUGGAUUGACGCUGAUGGACGAAAGCGUGGGUAGCGAACAGGAUUAGAUACCCUGGUAGUCCACGCCGUAAACGAUGGAUACUAGCUGUUGGAAGCAAUUUCAGUGGCUAAGCGAAAGUGAUAAGUAUCCCACCUGGGGAGUACGUUCGCAAGAAUGAAACUCAAAGGAAUUGA